rnacentral:rRNA from 1 species
GACGAACCGAGCGAACGUUGUUCGGAAUCACUGGGCUUAAAGGGCGCGUAGGCGGGCUGUCAAGUCUGGGGUGAAAUCCCGCGGCUCAACCGCGGAACCGCCUCGGAUACUGACGGUCUCGAGGGGGGUAGGGGCGAGCGGAACUGAUGGUGGAGCGGUGAAAUGCGUUGAUAUCAUCAGGAACUCCGGUGGCGAAGGCGGCUCGCUGGACCCUCUCUGACGCUGAGGCGCGAAAGCCAGGGGAGCAAACGGG